rnacentral:rRNA from 1 species
GGCUACACACGUGCUACAAUGGGUAGAACAGAGAGUCGCAAAGCCGUGAGGUGGAGCUAAUCUCAGAAAACUAUUCUUAGUUCGGAUUGUACUCUGCAACUCGAGUACAUGAAGUUGGAAUCGCUAGUAAUCGCGAAUCAGCAAUGUCGCGGUGAAUACGUUCUCGGGUCUUGUACACACCGCCCGUCACACCACGAGAGUUGGUUGCACCUGAAGUAGCAGGCCUAACCGUAAGGAGGGAUGCUCCGAGGGUGUGAUUAGCGAUUGGGGUGAAGUCGUAACAAGGUAUCCGUACGGGAACGU